rnacentral:siRNA from 1 species
UUUACCCUACUGAUGCCCGCG